rnacentral:misc_RNA from 1 species
CUAGCCAAAUUCUCUAUUCCAGCCCUAGUCAAGCUCACCAAAUUCGAAGACUCAAAAAUAUCAGCAUCUGUAGAAGCUCCAUUUGCAUUGCUAUUAAGCUGGGUUUCAUCUUCCUGCUUAAGAUUUCCUUUGUGAAGACCACAUUCCUUAGCCUUCGCAUCCUCCCACCACCACCUUCCUUCCCUCUCAUGUUGCCAUGGCAAAACAGGUCUCGUGCAUGGUUCACACCCAAUUGAAACAUACCCUUGUGAGUGCAAUGUGUUCACAGGCACAUUCAUGGAUCGUAAAAAGUCCCAUAUGUCUUUACUGCCAACAUUAGCAACCGGAUUCCAUUUGACCAAGCUACCAAUGCCACCAUCCAGCCCUUCAAAAACAGGGUCCACCUGCACAACUGGAACUUCAGACCGGGUACCGGGGGAUUGGUCUUUCCUUUGACCAGUGAUCCAUGCUCUUAGUCCCUUCAAGGCCCUUCUCAGAGGCCUCACCUUGCGCACACGGCAGCAUUCCUGGUGCCCAUCCUCGUAAAAAGAAAACAGCCCUUUGCUUCGGACUAAUGCUU